AGGGUUGGGCCGGAACGGCCCUUUGUUUGGCUACGAACCAAAAGGUCGGGGGUUCGAAUCCCUUCAGCCGUACCA
rnacentral:tRNA from 1 species